AUACGUAGGGUGCGAGCGUUGUCCGGAAUUACUGGGCGUAAAGAGCUCGUAGGUGGUUUGUCGCGUCGUCUGUGAAAUUCCGGGGCUUAACUCCGGGCGUGCAGGCGAUACGGGCAUAACUUGAGUACUGUAGGGGAGACUGGAAUUCCUGGUGUAGCGGUGAACUGCGCAGAUAUCAGGAGGAACACCGGUGGCGAAGGCGGGUCUCUGGGCAGUAACUGACGCUGAGGAGCGAAAGCAUGGGUAGCGAACAGGAUUAGAUACCCUGGUAGUCCAUGCCGUAAACGGUGGGCGCUAGGUGUAGGGGUCUUCCACGACUUCUGUGCCGUAGCUAACGCAUUAAGCGCCCCGCCUGGGGAGUACGGCCGCAAGGCUAAAACUCAAAGGAGUUGACGGGG
rnacentral:rRNA from 1 species